rnacentral:rRNA from 1 species
UACGGAGGAUGCGAGCGUUAUCCGGAUUUAUUGGGUUUAAAGGGUGCGUAGGCGGUAUUUUAAGUUAGUGGUAAAACGUCGGGGCUUCACCUUGAUUGGCCAUUAAAACUGGAGUACUAGAGUACAGACGAGGUAGGCGGAAUAAGUUAAGUAGCGGUGAAAUGCAUAGAUAUCACGCAGAACCCCGAUUGCGAAGGCAGCAUACCGGCGCCCUACUGACGCUGAGGCACGAAAGUGCGGGUAUCGAACAGG